UAGGGAAUAUUAGAAAUGGACGAAAGUCUGAUCUAGCAACACCGCGUGUGCGAAGAAGGCCUUCGGGUCGUAAAGCACUUUUUGGAAGGAAUAGGAAGGAAUGUACUUCCAGAAUAAGUCUCGGCUAACUACGUGCCAGCAGCCGCGGUAACACGUAGGAGGCAAACGUUAUCCGGAUUUACUGGGCGUAAAGCGCGUGUAGGUGGUACUGUAAGUAGGGCGUGAAAGCUCCUGGCUCAACUGGGAGAGGCCGUUCUAAACUACAGAACUAGAGGAUGGUAGAGGGAGGUGGAAUUCCAGGUGUAGCGGUGGAAUGCGCAGAUAUCUGGAGUAACACCGGUGGCGAAGGCGGCCUCCUGGACCAUUCCCGACACUCAGACGCGAAAGCUAGGGU
rnacentral:rRNA from 1 species